ACACCCUUAGCUCAGCUGGAAGAGCACCGGUGAGCGGAGCCGGUGGCCGCAGGUUCGAGUCCUGCAGGGUGUA
rnacentral:tRNA from 1 species